rnacentral:tRNA from 1 species
CGGGGUGUGGCUCAGCUUGGUAGAGCGCCACGUUCGGGACGUGGAGGCCGGAGGUUCGAAUCCUCUCACCCCGACCA